rnacentral:rRNA from 1 species
GACGAACGCUGGCGGCGUGCUUAACACAUGCAAGUCGAACGGUGACGAGGAGCUUGCUCCUCUGAUCAGUGGCGAACGGGUGAGUAACACGUGAGCAACCUGCCCCAGACUCUGGGAUAACAGUUGGAAACAGCUGCUAAUACCGGAUACGAGACGGAGAGGCAUCUCUACCGUCUGGAAAGUUUUUCGGUCUGGGAUGGACUCGCGGCCUAUCAGCUAGUUGGUGAGGUAAUGGCUCACCAAGGCGACGACGGGUAGCCGGCCUGAGAGGGCGACCGGCCACGACUGGGACUGAGACACGGCCCAGACUCCUACGGGAGGCAGCAGUGGGGAAUAUUGCACAAUGGGCGAAAGCCUGAUGCAGCGACGCCGCGUGAGGGAUGACGGCCUCGGUGUAACGUACGUUCUACGCAGGAGAAGGACGAAGAGACGGUACCGUGCAGAAGAAGACACCGCGUAACUAACGUGACCAGCAGCGCCGGAAAU